GGCUGCCUAUUCUUAAAAACUGCAUUGUUCCAAGGGGAGACGUCAGAAUGAGUUCUAAGAGCUCACAGUCAAGUGAGAGAUGUGAUCAGUUUCUCAGUGUGGCUACAAGGUACCGACUCUGUUCCUGGGCCUCCAAACAGGAAGGCAUUACUCCUAGGGAGUCGUCUAAUUGAGGUGGAGAUAGACAGUCUUGACUCCUUCAAACUCAGAACAUGGCUGUUGGGGAACUAGUCUUUGAAGGGAUGCUGAAGAUGAAAGGAAAUCAUUGAAGUGUUUCCUAAUCUACGGGUAUUAUCAUCCCAAUGGAGAUUAAAGACAGAUAUGAAGAUGGACGAGGAAAUAGAAUCAGAAUCUGCAAGAACAUUCCUCAUCUCACACAUUUGGAAUGAGAGUCGUGAGAAUUGAAAGUAACUUAACAGAUACUCCAAACGAGGCAAGAAGUAGGUUACGAAAAUGAGUCUCAUCGCCUGUGAAAGGCUGGUCUUUUCUAAAUUCUACAAUCAGAUCUGGCUGCAGUUUCACUACUGGGAGAAGAAGAAACAUCUGCCACUUUUCCAUGCAAAAGGAUGUCUUCUAUGCUUUGUCCUUACUCAUGAGUUAAGUGGUACUGAAGAAGGAAACAAAAUUCAGGUCUUCCCAACAAACUAAAACAUGACAGAACAUAUCCAAGAAAUUAACAGUUGAGGUUAUAUUAUCUCUGAACAGGAAAGUGACGUGCUUAGAUUCUUAAUUUCAAAUUUAAGGGGAGGUUAUUAAUAUCAAUGUUUGGAAAAAUAAUAGCUUUCCCUUUCUGAUUUUCCAGAUAAAUUUAUUUUUAGUAAACUUGGAAUCAGACAUCUAUUUCAAACCUCUGUUUUAUAACACUACCGAUGAAAAUAUAACCAAUCUAGGAAA